CUGAAAGCUGAUGUUCAAGUUGGAGAAAGUCUCAAGAAAAGGAUGUCUUCGCCUUCUCCUUCGGUUGGCAGUCGAAGUACUCCAUCCUUUCACAUGCAGGGACACUCCGACACUGAAUCCUCUGCUGGCGAGGAAUUGCGUUUUUCUCCUGAACCAAUGGAGUCAACACAGGAGGGUACACAUUC